AUGUACAGAUUGCGAAGGUGGCCAGACCUCCCGGGGGGUCUAAUGUAUUGUAUCAUUGCUCGGCUGUGCCUGGUCUCGUUCUCUGAUCUUGUUGCCUUUUCUGCUACCUCUCGCUCUUGGCGUGCCGCUUUCUCCACCUUGGUGCCGCUCCUCCCACCUCUCCUUCUCCGGCCUUAUGUCCCUAUGUGCUUUCCGUGUCGUCCUCCCAUGACCAACAACCUGGUACCAACACGGCCAUGCCAUGCCACUAAUAUAGCAAACCAAGACACCUACCAGUGCUGUCAGAUUCCCAUACAUAGUAUCUUUGGUGAAAACAAUACCCCACCAAGCCCUCUAAAAGGGUUUCGCUUUAGUGUUGCUUCCUAUGGUCAUCUCAUUUUCUCAAGAGAUAAAUCAUGUGUCGUUGUUGAUGUGUUCACAGAUGUUAGUGUCUCAUCCCCACAACUAUCGGUCAUUAAGGACAUCAGGCUCUUCUAUGCUGCCAUCACAACUCCUCUAGCAUGACCUAACUCACAUAUCAUUGUUUAUAUUGGACCGCACAAUUUGUUUUGGCAUGUUGGUAGUCAAUAUUGGGUGAGACGUUCUCCUGACGAUGGACCAAUCAAGCAAAUAGUGGUCUUCAAAGGGCGUGUUUUUGGCAUCGAUUCGGAUCUCAAACUCUUCAAAGUGCAGUUGACACCCCGGAUUUGCAUAAAGGAAAUACCCGUUAUGGAGUCAAGUAUAAUUAGGAAAUGGCACCAUUCCAAUAGAUGGCUGGUGAUUUGCGGCGAUCUGCUUCUCUUGGUGGCCUUGCGAGGACCCAUUAUAGUAACAGGAGUGACCUUUGAAGUCUUCCACCUUACUUAUCGACGGAACCUCACUAGUAGAAAAGGGGGCAUUUGUCCCGGUUCGUAA
rnacentral:rRNA from 1 species